rnacentral:rRNA from 1 species
UGAACGCUGGCGGCGUGCCUAAUACAUGCAAGUCGAACGAAACUUCUUUAUCACCGAGUGCUUGCACUCACCGAUAAAGAGUUGAGUGGCGAACGGGUGAGUAACACGUGGGCAACCUGCCCAAAAGAGGGGGAUAACACUUGGAAACAGGUGCUAAUACCGCAUAACCAUAGUUACCGCAUGGUAACUAUGUAAAAGGUGGCUAUGCUACCGCUUUUGGAUGGGCCCGCGGCGCAUUAGCUAGUUGGUGGGGUAAAGGCUUACCAAGGCAAUGAUGCGUAGCCGAACUGAGAGGUUGAUCGGCCACAUUGGGACUGAGACACGGCCCAAACUCCUACGGGAGGCAGCAGUAGGGAAUCUUCCACAAUGGGCGAAAGCCUGAUGGAGCAACGCCGCGUGGGUGAAGAAGGUCUUCGGAUCGUAAAACCCUGUUGUUAGAGAAGAAAGUGCGUGAGAGUAACUGUUCACGUUUCGACGGUAUCUAACCAGAAAGCCACGGCUAACUACGUGCCAGCAGCCGCGGUAAUACGUAGGUGGCAAGCGUUAUCCGGAUUUAUUGGGCGUAAAGGGAACGCAGGCGGUCUUUUAAGUCUGAUGUGAAAGCCUUCGGCUUAACCGGAGUAGUGCAUUGGAAACUGGGAGACUUGAGUGCAGAAGAGGAGAGUGGAACUCCAUGUGAAGCGGUGAAAUGCGUAGAUAUAUGGAAGAACACCAGUGGCGAAAGCGGCUCUCUGGUCUGUAACUGACGCUGAGGUUCGAAAGCAUGGGUAGCAAA